CAUAUCAAUAAGCGGAGGAAAAGAAACCAACAGGGAUUGCCCUAGUAACGGCGAGUGAAGCGGCAACAGCUCAAAUUUGAAAUCUGGCUUUCGGGCCCGAGUUGUAAUUUGUAGAGGAUACUUUUGAUGCGGUGCCUUCCGAGUUCCCUGGAACGGGACGCCAUAGAGGGUGAGAGCCCCGUCUGGUUGGAUGCCAAAUCUCUGUAAAGUUCCUUCGACGAGUCGAGUAGUUUGGGAAUGCUGCUCUAAAUGGGAGGUAUAUGUCUUCUAAAGCUAAAUAUUGGCCAGAGACCGAUAGCGCACAAGUAGAGUGAUCGAAAGAUGAAAAGCACUUUGAAAAGAGAGUUAAAAAGUACGUGAAAUUGUUGAAAGGGAAGCGUUUAUGACCAGACUUGGACUUGGUUAAUCAUCUGGGGUUCUCCCCAGUGCACUUUUCCAGUUCAGGCCAGCAUCAGUUUUCGCCGGGGGAUAAAGGCAGUGGGAAUGUAGCUCUCUUCGGGGAGUGUUAUAGCCCAUUGUGUAAUACCCUGGUGGAGACUGAGGUUCGCGCUUCUGCAAGGAUGCUGGCGUAAUGGUCAUCAACGACCCGUCUUGAAACACGGACCAAGGAGUCGUCUUCGUAUGCGAGUGUUCGGGUGUCAAACCCCUACGCGUAAUGAAAGUGAACGCAGGUGAGAGCUUCGGCGCAUCAUCGACCGAUCCUGAUGUUCUCGGAUGGAUUUGAGUAAGAGCAUACGGGGCCGGACCCGAAAGAAGGUGAACUAUGCCUGUAUAGGGUGAAGCCAGAGGAAACUCUGGUGGAGGCUCGCAGCGGUUCUGACGUGCAAAUCGAUCGUCAAAUAUGGGCAUGGGGGCGAAAGACUAAUCGAACCUUCUAGUAGCUGGUUUCCGCCGAAGUUUCCCUCAGGAUAGCAGUGUUGAACUCAGUUUUAUGAGGUAAAGCGAAUGAUUAGGGACUCGGGGGCGCUAUAUUGCCUUCAUCCAUUCUCAAACUUUAAAUAUGUAAGAAGCCCUUGUUGCUUAAUUGAACGUGGGCAUUCGAAUGUAUCAACACUAGUGGGCCAUUUUUGGUAAGCAGAACUGGCGAUGCGGGAUGAACCGAACGCGAGGUUAAGGUGCCGGAGUGGACGCUCAUCAGACACCACAAAAGGUGUUAGUACAUCUUGACAGCAGGACGGUGGCCAUGGAAGUCGGAAUCCGCUAAGGACUGUGUAACAACUCACCUGCCGAAUGUACUAGCCCUGAAAAUGGAUGGCGCUCAAGCGUCUCACCCAUACCUCGCCCUCAGGGUAGAAACGAUGCCCUGAGGAGUAGGCGGACGUGGAGGUCAGUGACGAAGCCUAGGGCGUGAGCCCGGGUUGAACGGCCUCUAGUGCAGAUCUUGGUGGUAGUAGCAAAUACUUCAAUGAGAACUUGAAGGA
rnacentral:rRNA from 1 species